CAGCCAUGCCGCGUGUAUGAAGAAGCCUUCGGGUUGUAAAGUACUUUCAGUCGUGAGGAAGGUGGUGUGUUAAUAGCAGCAUCAUUUGACGUUAGCGACAGAAGAAGCACCGGCUAACUCCGUGCCAGCAGCCGCGGUAAUACGGAGGGUGCGAGCGUUAAUCGGAAUUACUGGGCGUAAAGCGCAUGCAGGUGGUGGAUUAAGUCAGAUGUGAAAGCCCGGGGCUCAACCUCGGAACCGCAUUUGAAACUGGUUCACUAGAGUACUGUAGAGGGGGGUAGAAUUUCAGGUGUAGCGGUGAAAUGCGUAGAGAUCUGAAGGAAUACCGGUGGCGAAGGCGGCCCCCUGGACAGAUACUGACACUCAGAUGCGAAAGCGUGGGGAGCAAACAGGAUUAGAUACCCUGGUAGUCCACGCCGUAAACGAUGUCUACUUGGAGGUUGUGGCCUUGAGCCGUGGCUUUCGGAGCUAACGCGUUAAGUAGACCGCCUGGGGAGUACGGUCGCAAGAUUAAAACUCAAAUGAAUUGACGGGGGCCCGCACAAGCGGUGGAGCAUGUGGUUUAAUUCGAUGCAACGCGAAGAACCUUACCUACUCUUGACAUCUACAGAAUCCUGCGGAGACGCGGGAGUGCCUUCGGGAACUGUAAGACAGGUGCUGCAUGGCUGUCGUCAGCUCGUGUUGUGAAAUGUUGGGUUAAGUCCCGCAACGAGCGCAACCCUUAUCCUUGUUUGCCAGCGAGUCAUGUCGGGAACUCCAGGGAGACUGCCGGUGAUAAACCGGAGGAAGGUGGGGACGACGUCAAGUCAUCAUGGCCCUUACGAGUAGGGCUACACACGUGCUACAAUGGCGCAUACAGAGGGCAGCAAGCUAGCGAUAGUGAGCGAAUCCCAAAAAGUGCGUCGUAGUCCGGAUUGGAGUCUGCAACUCGACUCCAUGAAGUCGGAAUCGCUAGUAAUCGUAGAUCAGAAUGCUACGGUGAAUACGUUCCCGGGCCUUGUACACACCGCCCGUCACACCAUGGGAGUGGGCUGCAAAAGAAGUGGGUAGUUUAACCUUCGAGGAGGACGCUCACCACUUUGGGUCG
rnacentral:rRNA from 2 species